rnacentral:rRNA from 1 species
AUUGAACGCUGGCGGCAGGCUUAACACAUGCAAGUCGAGCGGGGGAGGUUGCUUCGGUAACUGACCUAGCGGCGGACGGGUGAGUAAUGCUUAGGAAUCUGCCUAUUAGUGGGGGACAACAUUCCGAAAGGGAUGCUAAUACCGCAUACGCCCUACGGGGGAAAGCAGGGGAUCUUCGGACCUUGCGCUAAUAGAUGAGCCUAAGUCGGAUUAGCUAGUUGGUGGGGUAAAGGCCUACCAAGGCGACGAUCUGUAGCGGGUCUGAGAGGAUGAUCCGCCACACUGGGACUGAGACAAGGCCCAGACUCCUACGGGAGGCAGCAGUGGGGAAUAUUGGACAAUGGGCGGAAGCCUGAUCCAGCCAUGCCGCGUGUGUGAAGAAGGCCUUUUGGUUGUAAAGCACUUUAAGCGAGGAGGAGGCUCUUAAGGUUAAUACCCUUGAUGAGUGGACGUUACUCGCAGAAUAAGCACCGGCUAACUCUGUGCCAGCCGCCGCCGUAAUAC